UACGUAGACCUCGAGCGUUAUCCGGAUUUACUGGGCGUAAAGCGUCCGUAGGUGUCUUUUUAAGUCUCCGGUGAAAUCCCUCGGCUCAACUGAGGAACUGUCGGGGAAACUGGAAAGAUAGAGUACAGCAGGGGCUGAUGGAAUGGUUGGUGUAGCGGUAAAAUGCGUUGAUAUCAACCAGAACACCAGUGGCGAAGGCGGCUCACUGGACCGGAACUGACGCUGAGGCGCGAAAGCG
rnacentral:rRNA from 1 species